rnacentral:lncRNA from 1 species
CCCUGGCUUCUAGAAGUACGUGCAUCAAAUUAAAGUUAUCACUGUGCCCAUAAAAGCUUUCCUUCCACUUGGACUAGUUUAGCAGUAUCUUGGGACUCAAAAAACGUUAAAGAUCCAAAAAGAUCAACCGGGACCCCACGGGUCCAUGACCUCACAAUAUGAUUCAGAAGCCGCUAGAAGGUCCAAUAUAUCUAGGACACAUGUCCCGAGGGUAUUGAUCUCGAUCGGAUGGUC